rnacentral:rRNA from 1 species
AGAGUUUGAUCAUGGCUCAGAACGAACGCUGGUGGCGUGUCUUAUACGUGCAAGUCGAGCGAGGCAGCAAUGCCGAGCGGCGAACGGGUGAGUAACGCGUAAGCAAUCUGCCCCAUAUCAGGAAAUACCCGUGCCAACGCGCGGUUAAUGUCCAGGAGAGUGGCCUUCCGCAUGGAGGGUUGACUAGAGAUUUAUCGGUAUGGGAUGAGCUUGCGUCCGAUUAGCUAGUUGGCGGGGCAACGGCCCACCAAGGCGACGAUCGGUAGCCGGCCUGAGAGGGUGAUCGGCCACAUUGGGACUGAGAUACGGCCCAGACUCCUACGGGAGGCAGCAGUAGGGAAUAUUGCACAAUGGGGGAAACCCUGAUGCAGCAACGCCACGUGUGGGAAGAAGCAUUUCGGUGUGUAAACCACUGUCAUGAGGGAAUAAGGCCCGCCUUCGGACGGACUUGAAUGUACCUUGAGAGGAAGCACCGGCAAACUUCGUGCCAGCCGCUGC